GCCAGCGGAGUCUUGGCAUCUUGGCGCGCUGCAGACGGGAGACGCUGGUUCUGAUCUUAACUCCUCCUCAAGACGACUUCUUCUUCUUCACAACCAAGAAACGUACCGCAGACAUGCAUCUAUCAGUGCUAUCCUGUGUGGUGGUGGCCCUGCUAUGCUUGGUGGGGGUCCAUAUAUCGGCAGGCUACCCGGACUGACAGGAAGGCGUUGUAGGCCUCCUGCUGUGCCACAUGACUUAUGUUCUGUACUGUUGUUGUUUCAGACAUGCAUCUAUCAGUGUUAUCCUGUGUGGUGGUGGCCCUGCUAUGCUUGGUGGGGGUCCAUAUAUCGGCAGGCUACCCGGACUGGCAGGAGGACGACAUGGACUGCCUGAUGUCCUGCGAGACGUGCCUGUCCAUGUACGACUGGCCGCGGCACUUUGAUCUGGCGUCAUGUUACCGCCAGUGCGAGCGGUCCUACCUGCCCGUCAGGUACUCCGAGUGGUCCGUCUGCGAGCUGACGUUAAAGAUGGGCGGUACCAAGGCCAGCCAGCCCAUGGGGGUGUUCAGGGGCAAGCGCGCGGCCGUCUGGAGAGGGAGGUACCGGUAAAAGGUCAUCGCGCAUGCGUGGAUGGAACAGGACUGAUAUGUCUGCUCGGUCAGGUUUUGUUGGGGCCAAAACUAUGUAAAAGCGGCAGAUCCAAAGUACUUCUUAAGAACAUGUGUAAGUGAAACUUGUGAAGUUGUGUUUCUUAUGUUCAACCCUCUUACUCCACUCAAGGCUCUUUGUACCAUCUGAAAAAAAUAUGGAAACAAAAAUUGUCUAAGGAAAGGACAUUGUGCGCUGGUCGCUGCAUACGUAGCCACAUAUUAGACAUGUAUGGGCAGAAGUACAUUAAAUGUUGGUAAGAUUCAACCGUACAGAAAAAAAGUUUUAUAUCAUUCCUAUGGCCCUUCUCAAGUUGAAAUGACCCGAAGCCUUAGUCAGGGGUGUCCUGGCCGGAAAUGUGACGUUAAGAACGGCUCAAUUGUUCCCGGCAAUCUGUAUCGGCCCCCGUCACCUGUUAGUGGAAUGUUGAAUGAUACAAAGACCUCUGGAUACAGAAUACAGUUGUUUCAGUUUACUCUCGAUGCAGAGAUAUGUCAUGGAUUAAGGCCACAUUAGUUUUAAAAAAGUUCUAUUGGUGGCAUCAGCAGCACCGUUGAUAUGGUACCCUUAUUUGACACAAGUCAAACUACAAACUGUGGUCACACAUAAUUUCAUAGGCCUGAUACGCCAUUGGAAAUAAAGUUCUAUUUACACAUCCUCGACUAAAGUAACUGUUCAUACAAUUUUGUAACCUUUCUGACGGCCUUAUUAACCUGCUGCAAUGAAAAGGUGGUUCUCACAUUCGCCAAAAAGUAGUUACUCAAGCAACUGGAUAUGAUUUUAGAAACGGUUAGACUUUUU